GACGAACGCUGGCGGCGUGCUUAACACAUGCAAGUCGAGCGGUAAGGCCCUUUCGGGGGUACGACGAGCGGCGAACGGGUGAGUAACACGUGGGUGACCUCGCCCUCCAGCUCUGGGAUAAGCCUGGGAAACCGGGUCUAAUACCGGAUAUGACUCCAUGACGCAUGUUGUGGGGUGGAAAGCCUUGUGCGGCUGAGGAUGGGCCCGCGGCCUAUCAGCUUGUUGGUGGGGUGAUGGCCUACCAAGGCGACGACGGGUAGCCGGCCUGAGAGGGCGACCGGCCACACUGGGACUGAGACACGGCCCAGACUCCUACGGGAGGCAGCAGUGGGGAAUCUUGCGCAAUGGGCGAAAGCCUGACGCAGCGACGCCGCGUGAGGGAUGACGGCCUGUGU
rnacentral:rRNA from 1 species